CUCGUCCUAUGUUGCCAGCGAGUCGUGUCGGGGACUCAUAGGAGACUGCCGGGGUCAACUCGGAGGAAGGUGGGGAUGACGUCAAGUCAUCAUGCCCCUUACGUCCUGGGCUGCACACAUGCUACAAUGGCCGGUUACAAAGGGCUGCGAUGCCGUGAGGUGGAGCGAAUCCCAAAAAGCCGGUCUCAGUUCGGAUCGGCGUCUGCAACUCGACCCCGUGAAGUCGGAGUCGCUAGUAAUCGCAGAUCAGCAAUGCUGCGGUGAAUACGUUCCCGGGCCUUGUACACACCGCCCGUCACGUCACGAAAGUCGGUAACACCCGAAGCCGGUGGCCUAACCCUUGUGGGGGGAGCCGUCGAAGGUGGGACCGGCGAUUGGGACGAAGUCGUAACAAGGUAGCCGUACCGGAAGGUGCGGCUGGAUCACCUCCUUUCUAAGGAGCGUCUGGCUGGUCUGUCCUGUAGUGGGGUGGGCUGGUGCAGAGCCAGGGCCGGCUGUGGAUGCCGGUCUGGUUGCUCGUGGGUGGAACGCUGACGAUGGGGUUUCGGCUGGUUGUCCGGGGUCUAGUACUCCUCUGUCCUUAUCUUCGGGUGGGGUGGGGGGUGGAACGGUCCGGGUGGGUGGCUGGGGUCCGUGGCACGCUGUUGGGUCCUGAGGGAGUGAGGCUCUCUCGGCUGGUGGGUUCCUGUGCUGUGGUCCUGGUGGGGAUCGUGGUGGGGGGGUCUGCUGCUGGAACCGACCGGUCCUGGUGGAGGACUGCCUUCCCGUUGGGUGGGGGUGGGUUUCCCCGGGUCGGCUGUGGCCCUCCUUACGGUUAGACCUGCACAGUGGACGCGAGCAUCUUUGUGGCCAAGUUAUUAAGGGCGC
rnacentral:ncRNA from 1 species